rnacentral:lncRNA from 1 species
CUGACUAUCCAGAAGUUGAAGAUAAACCUGAAGAACUAGCAGUUGAAGAAAAACAUGAAGAACAAGCAAUUGAAGAGAAGCCUGAAGAACCAGCAAUUAAGGAAAAAGCUGAUGAACCAGCAGUGCAAGAAAAACUUGAAGAACCAGCUGUGGAAAAGAAACCUGAAGAACCAGUGGCUACGGAGAAACCUGAAGAACCAGCAAUUAAGGAAAAAGCUGAUGAACCAGCAGCGCAGGAGAAACCUGAAGAACCAGCUGUGGGAAAGAAACCUGAAGAACCAGUGGCUACGGAGAAACCUAAAGAACCAGCAAUUAAGGAAAAAGCUGAUGAACCAGCAGUGCAAGAGAAACCUGAAGAACCAGCUGUGGAAAAGAUACCUGAAGAACCAGCAGUCGAGGAGAAAUUUGACGAACCAGCAGUUGGAGAGAAAUCAGAAGAACCAGUAGUUGAACAAACACCUGCAGGACCAGCAUGGGAAGAAACACCUAAAGAACUAGCAUUUGAAGAGAAACCUGAAGAACCAGCAGUUGAAGAAACACCUGAAGAACCAGCAGUUGAAGAAACACCUGAAGAACUAGCAGUUGAAAAGAACCCUGAAAAAACAGCAGUCG